rnacentral:rRNA from 1 species
ACGGGGGGGGCAAGCGUUGUUCGGAAUUACUGGGCGUAAAGGGCUCGUAGGCGGCCAACUAAGUCAGACGUGAAAUCCCUCGGCUUAACCGGGGAACUGCGUCUGAUACUGGAUGGCUUGAGAUUGGGAGAGGGAUGCGGAAUUCCAGGUGUAGCGGUGAAAUGCGUAGAUAUUGGGAAGAACACCUGAGGCGAAGGCGGGUUGCUGGGCCGACACUGACGCUGAGGCGCGAAAGCCAGGGGAGCAAACGGGA